rnacentral:misc_RNA from 1 species
GAUGAAGAACGUAGCGAAAUGCGAUAAGUAAUGUGAAUUGCAGAAUUCAGUGAAUCAUCGAAUCUUUGAACGCACAUUGCGCCCGCUAGUAUUCUGGUGGGCACGCCUGUCCGAGCGUCAUUUCAACCCUCAAGCCCCCGGGCUUGGUGUUGGGGAUCGGCGAGCCUCCGCGCCCGCCGUCCCCUAAAUCUAGUGGCGGUCUCGCUGUAGCUUCCUCUGCGUAGUAGCACACCUCGCACUGGGAAACAGCGCGGCCACGCCGUUAAACCCCCAACUUCUGAACGUUUGACCUCGGAUCAGGUAGGAAUACCCGCUGAACUUAAGCAUAUCAAUAAGCGGAGGA